rnacentral:lncRNA from 1 species
GUUUCAUUUUGCAGUUUUUCCUAACACUGAUUUAUAGUAAAACUAAAAAAGGGGUAUGGAUAAUAAUUACUUUUGAAACUGGAGUUGCUUCACUAGUGGGAAUAAGUUACAUUGUGAUACAGCUGGAAAAGAAACAUUAGAACUUCCAUUUAGAUUUUAUGUAACUAAAGUGAUGAUCUCACAACAGUUAUUAUAAUCUGUUAAAGAAGCACUCUUUAGUUUUAUUUUGGAAAUAGAUCUUUUAGCAGGAUACAAAUACUGAGAGUUUUAUUACUAGGUUUAUAGUCCUAAGCUGAAAAUUGCUACAUUAGUAUAUCACCUCUGAAUAAAAAUCAAGUUUUUUUCCCUACAUUUUAAAAUCAGUAAUUUCUUACACCUAUUGUAAAAAAUAGUUUUUAGUUAGCCUUCAGAUGUGACAUAACAACUGCCAGAAUAUCAGAGAAAACAUGAUGUAGCAGAGACUAAGGCACAUUAUAAUGCUUUUAGAGUUAAGUGCUUCCCCAGAUGAUGCGUAAGAACUUUUUGAUUCUGAAGAUCAGCGACUUUGCAUCACUUACUUGUGAAGGCAUAUGGAAUAACAUUUGCUUG